rnacentral:rRNA from 1 species
CCCUUAGAUGUUCUGGGCCGCACGCGCGCUACACUGAUGAAUUCAACGAGCUCCUAACCUAGGCCGAAGGGUCCGGGUAAUCUUUGAAAUUUCAUCGUGAUGGGGAUAGAUUAUUGCAAUUAUUAAUCCUCAACGAGGAAUUCCUAGUAAGCGCGAGUCAUCAGCUCGCGUUGAUUACGUCCCUGCCCUUUGUACACACCGCCCGUCGCUCCUACCGAUUGAAUGGUCCGGUGAAAUGUUCGGACCGCGACAAGGCGGACGGUUCGCUGUCAGCUUUGCUGCGGGAAGUUCAUUAAACCUUAUCAUUUAGAGGAAGGAGAAGUCGUAACA